rnacentral:lncRNA from 1 species
GACACACACAGGGGAGAAGCCCUACAUUUGCAGGGAGUGUGGGCAGGGCCUUACAUGGAAGUCAAGCCUCAUCCAGCACCAGAGGACACACACAGGGGAGAAGCCCUACAUUUGCAGGGAGUGUGGGCGGGGCUUUACAUGGAAGUCAAGCCUCAUCCAGCACCAGAGGACACACACAGUGGAGAAGUAAUAUCUUUUCAAAAAGAAUGAGAAAGCCAAUAGCAAUAAAACCGCAUCUCAACAAUUACAGAAAGACCACUAAACAUCUUCCCACCUGUUCUACUAAAACUUCUGAGAAGUCUGAUUUUCAAAACUAGAGUAUAAAAUGAUUAAAAAGGAAAAUUAAAUCCCC